CCCAUUGACUCCAUUGGCACCACUGACCCCAUUGAGACCCCAUUGACCCCAUAGAUUCCAUUGACCCCAUUGACCCCAAUGACCCCAUUGACCCCAUUGACCCCAUUGACAUCAAUGACCCCAUUGACCCCAAUGACCCCAUUAUCCCAAUUGACCCCAUUGACCCCAUUGACCCCAAUGACCCCAUUGACCCCAUUGACCCCAUUGACCCAAUGACCCCAUUGACCCCAUUGACCCCAUUGACCCCAUUGACCCCAAUGAUCCCAUUGACCCCAUUGACUCCAUUGACCCCAUUGACCCCAUUGACCCCAUUGACCCCAAUGAUCCCAUUGACCCCAUUGACCCCAUUGACCCCAUUGACGCCAUUGACCCCAUUGACCCCAUUGACCCCAUUGACCCCAAUGAUCCCAUUGACCCCAUUGACCCCAUUGAUCCCAUUGACCCCAUUGACCCCAUUGACCCCAUUGACCCCAUUGACCCCAAUGACCCCAAUGACCCCAUUGACUCCAUUGUCCCCAUUGACCCCACUGACCCCAUUGACCCCAUUGACACCA